rnacentral:rRNA from 1 species
UGCCAGACUCCUACGGGAGGCAGCAGUGGGGGAUAUUGCACAAUGGGGGAAACCCUGAUGCAGCGACGCCGCGUGAGUGAAGAAGUAUUUCGGUAUGUAAAGCUCUAUCAGCAGGGAAGAAAAUGACAGUACCUGACCAAGAAGCCCCGGCUAACUACGUGCCAGCAGCCGCGGUAAUACGUAGGGGGCAAGCGUUAUCCGGAUUUACUGGGUGUAAAGGGAGCGUAGGCGGCGAUGCAAGUCAGAAGUGAAAGCCCGGGGCUCAACUCCGGGACUGCUUUUGAAACUGUAUGGCUAGAUUGCAGGAGAGGCAAGUGGAAUUCCUAGUGUAGCGGUGAAAUGCGUAGAUAUUAGGAGGAACACCAGUGGCGAAGGCGGCUUGCUGGACUGUAAAUGACGCUGAGGCUCGAAAGCGUGGGGAGCAAACAGGAUUAGAUACCCGAGUACU